GUGUCAGCCGCCGCGGUAAUACAGAGGGUGCAAACGUUGUUCGGAUUUACUGGGCGUAAAGCGCGUGUAGGCUGCUUCGCAAGUCGGAUGUGAAAGCCCUGGGCUCAACCCAGGAAGUGCAUUCGAAACUGCAGAGCUGGAGUCCUGGAGAGGAAGGCGGAAUUCUCGGUGUAGAGGUGAAAUUCGUAGAUAUCGAGAGGAACACCGGUGGCGAAGGCGGCCUUCUGGACAGUGACUGACGCUGAGACGCGAAAGCGUGGGGAGCAAACAGGAUUAGAUACCCUGGUAGUCC
rnacentral:rRNA from 1 species